rnacentral:rRNA from 1 species
CCCUUAGAUGUCCUGGGCCGCACGCGUGCUACACUGACACUUACACCGAGUUUUUCCAAUGCCGAAAGGCCAUUGGUAAUCAGCAAUAAGUGUCGUGAUGGGGAUAGAUCUUUGGAAUUAUUGAUCUUGAACGAGGAAUGCCUAGUAAUCGUAGGUCAUCAGCCUGCGAUGAUUACGUCCCUGCCCUUUGUACACACCGCCCGUCGCUACUACCGAUUGAACGUUUUAGUGAGGUACUCGGACUGAGCCUCAGAAGAUUCACGUCUUUUGUGCUGCUCGGGAAGAUUCCCAAACUUGNGNGUUUAUNGGAAGUAAAANUCGUANCA